GCUCACUUCAGCUGCACAUAUAUUAAAAUUGGAACAACACACAGAAGAUUAGCAUGGCCCCUGCGCAAGGAUGACACGCAGACUGAGUCCCUGGGUCCUGCCUUU